UGCGAACGCUGGCGGCAGGCCUAACACAUGCAAGUCGAGCGCCCGUAGCAAUACGGGAGCGGCAGACGGGUGAGUAACACGUGGGAACGUACCCUUCGGUUCGGAAUAACCCAGGGAAACUUGGACUAAUACCGGAUACGUCCGUAAGGAGAAAGAUUUAUCGCCGAAGGAUCGGCCCGCGUCCGAUUAGCUUGUUGGUGGGGUAAUGGCCCACCAAGGCUACGAUCGGUAGCUGGUCUGAGAGGAUGAUCAGCCACACUGGGACUGAGACACGGCCCAGACUCCUACGGGAGGCAGCAGUGGGGAAUAUUGGACAAUGGGCGCAAGCCUGAUCCAGCCAUGCCGCGUGGGUGAUGAAGGCCCUAGGGUUGUAAAGCCCUUUCGGCGGGGAAGAUAAUGACGGUACCCGCAGAAGAAGCCCCGGCUAACUUCGUGCCAGCAGCCGCCGUAA
rnacentral:rRNA from 1 species